rnacentral:lncRNA from 1 species
CACCACCACUUCCUCCAUCGCCUCCUCCGCCCGUUUAUUCACCUCCUCCGCCUCCUCCGUCACCUCCACCUCCCGUUUAUUCACCUCCUCCGCCUCCUCCGUCACCUCCACCUCCCGUUUAUUCACCUCCUCCGCCUCCUCCGUCACCUCCACCUCCCGUUUAUUCACCUCCUCCGCCUCCUCCGUCACCUCCACCUCCCGUUUAUUCACCUCCACCUCCUCCUCCACCCCCACCACCUGUUUAUUCGCCACCACCUCCUCCACCCCCACCACCUGUUUAUUCGCCACCACCUCCUCCACCACCUGUUUACUCGCCACCACCACCACCAUCACCUCCUCCUCCAUCACCAUUACCUUAUUGUGUACGCUCACCACCACCUCCACCACCAAAUUCACCACCUCCUCCGCCACCACCGCUUGCUCACUCACCUCCACCCCCUUCACCUUACUACUACAAUUCACCACCACCUCCGCCUCCUCCACCACCAAAUUCACCACCUCCACCACCUGUAUACAUAUACUCAUCACCUCCACCACCAAAUUCACCUCCUCCACCAGUAUACUCCUCCCCUCCACCGCCUCAUUUGC